AGAGUUUGAUCCUGGCUCAGGACGAACGCUGGCGGCGUGCCUAACACAUGCAAGUCGAACGGAACUGUUUUGAAAGAUUUCUUCGGAAUGAAUUUGAUUUAGUUUAGUGGCGGACGGGUGAGUAACGCGUGAGUAACCUGCCUUCAAGAGGGGGAUAACAUUCUGAAAAGAAUGCUAAUACCGCAUGACAUAUCGGAACCACAUGGUUUUGAUAUCAAAGAUUUUAUCGCUUGAAGAUGGACUCGCGUCCGAUUAGUUAGUUGGUGAGGUAACGGCUCACCAAGACCGCGAUCGGUAGCCGGACUGAGAGGUUGAACGGCCACAUUGGGACUGAGACACGGCCCAGACUCCUACGGGAGGCAGCAGUGGGGGAUAUUGCGCAAUGGGGGCAACCCUGACGCAGCAACGCCGCGUGAAGGAUGAAGGUUUUCGGAUUGUAAACUUCUUUUAUUAAGGACGAAACUUGACGGUACUUAAUGAAUAAGCUCCGGCUAACUACGUGCCAGCAGCCGCGGUAAUACGUAGGGAGCAAGCGUUGUCCGGAUUUACUGGGUGUAAAGGGUGCGUAGGCGGCUUUGCAAGUCAGAUGUGAAAUCUAUGGGCUCAACCCAUAAACUGCAUUUGAAACUGUAGAGCUUGAGUGAAGUAGAGGCAGGCGGAAUUCCCCGUGUAGCGGUGAAAUGCGUAGAGAUGGGGAGGAACACCAGUGGCGAAGGCGGCCUGCUGGGCUUUAACUGACGCUGAGGCACGAAAGCGUGGGUAGCAAACAGGAUUAGAUACCCUGGUAGUCCACGCUGUAAACGAUGAUUACUAGGUGUGGGGGGUCUGACCCCUUCCGUGCCGGAGUUAACACAAUAAGUAAUCCACCUGGGGAGUACGGCCGCAAGGUUGAAACUCAA
rnacentral:rRNA from 1 species